rnacentral:rRNA from 1 species
GGCCCUUCGGGGUACACGAGCGGCGGACGGCUGAGUAACACGUAGGAACGUACCCCAAAGUGAGGGAUAAGCACCAGAAAUGGUGUCUAAUACCGCAUGUGCUCUAAGGAGUAAAGCUCCGGCGCUUUGGGAACGGCCUGCGCAUGAUUAGCUAGAUGGUGAGGUAAUGGCUCACCAUGGCGACGAUCAUUAGCUGGUCUGAGAGGAUGAUCAGCCAGACUGGGACUGAGACACGGCCCAGACUCCUACGGGAGGCAGCAGUAGGGAAUUUGCCACAAUGGGCGAAAGCCUGAUGGAGCAACGCCGCGUGCAGGAUGAAUGCCUUCGGGUUGUAAACUGCUUUUAUAUGUGACGAAUAUGACGGUAGCAUAUGAAUAAGGAUCGGCUAACUCCGUGCCAGCAGCCGCGGUCAUACGGAGGAUCCAAGCGUUAUCCGGAAUUAUUGGGCGUAAAGAGUUGCGUAGGCGGCAUAGUAAGCAGAUAGUGAAAGCGUGUGGCUCAACCAUACUCACAUUAUCUGAACUGCUAAGCUAGAGGACGAGAGAGGUCACUGGAAUUCCUAGUGUAGGAGUGAAAUCCGUAGAUAUUAGGAGGAACACCAAUGGCGUAGGCAGGUUACUGGACCAUUUCUGACGCUAAGGCACGAAAGCGUGGGGAGCGAACCGGAUUAGAUACCCGGGUAGUCCACGCCGUAAACGAUGGAUACUAGCUGUCGGGGGUAUCGACCCCCUCGGUAGCGAAGCUAACGCGUUAAGUAUCCCGCCUGUGGAGUACGGCCGCAAGGCUAAAACAUAAAG